UUGAAAGGGAAACGAUUGAAGUCAGUCGUACCUGUGGGUAAUCAGCCUUUUGGGUGUGAUUUUGUGGAGUGUGAGGAGUUAAACGCCUUCAUGCCUGCAUAUUCGUGCACUUUGGGUGUAUUUACCCGUGUGGUAAGUUAACAUCAAUUUCGGUGGUCAUAAAAUGGCUGGAGGAAUGUAGCUUCGAUCUUGUAUUGAAGUGUUAUAGCCUUCGGUAGAUGUGAUGAUCGGGAUUGAGGAUUGCAACGGAUACCCUUCGGGGCUACCUGUCUGAUCUCUGAUCGUUGCUCUGGUGCCGAAAGCUUGCUUACGGUUAUCAAAGUCGAUGGUCAAUAGGUUAGAAUGGGUUAAAUUCGUUAAGGAUGUUGACGUA
rnacentral:rRNA from 1 species